rnacentral:lncRNA from 1 species
AACGUGUUUCACUAUUGAUCUAAAUGUUGUGUAUUUGAUUCUUGUUGGUUGCAAAAUUAAAUUUUCUUUUCAAAAGAAACACAUAGGUGCAAAAUUAAAUUUUCUUUUCAAAAGAAACACAUAGGCACCAGUUGUAUUGGCGCCUCCUCUUGGAGGGUCAUGCAGGCGCCUUUUCAUGAGGCCCAAUGCAUGUGCGCCACGCCUCCUCUUAUUUUUUUGGGGUGCCAACUCCCUCGGCGCAUCCUCCCCCAAACAUGGUUAUUUUGAAAAAAAAAUUGAAAAGUCGGUUAUUUUCGUAUUUUUUUUGAAAAAAAUGGUUAUUUUAAAAAAAAAUAUGGAAAAAGGGGGUCGUCCCUUUACAUCCCUCUCUCCCAAUUCAUUAAUCUUCCUCUGUGCUUAUGAAACAGAGAAAAAAAAAGUCCACUCCAAUUUAUAAUAAAUUCAUGCUCUCAAACAAAUAUCAAACCAGAACAAUACACAAUCAAUCAUAACAACAAUUAGAUUCAAUAGAAAGGAAAAGUGAAUCUUACAAAAAUAUGACGAAUUCGAAAGAAACUGCGGUGACUGCGGGAGGAGAGCGACGGUUGAGGGGAGGUGUGGUCGUAUUCGUCUUCAACGGCGAUGUUGUUGAGGUUGAGUGUGAUGUUCGUCGGAAGGUCGUUGACGACCGGAUCUGGCAUCGUCGGUAGAGCGACUGGAAGUUCGACGACACGCGUCGUGAUUUGGAAGCAGCUUUUGGCAGUGUUGUGUUCGUGGGUGUAUCGAUCUCCUCUUCCUUCUAUUUUUUUUUUUUUUUGAAUCCAAGUGUUUACGAAAUUGAAUUAUAUUCUUUUGAUUUAUGUUUUGGAAUUGUGAAUGAAUGUUAGUGAAGGUAUGGAAAGUUUUAUGAAGAUGAUGUUAACGUUGAACGAAAAUUGGUUUCUAGAGGUAAUUGAUUUUCUUGAAAAGUUGUUUAUUGGUGUUGAGAUAAUGGCAUUUAUAGAAGAAUAACAAAACUAGGAUUUGACUUUUGACUCAAAGAUAGAAAAAAGGUUCUGUGUAGAUUGCAGUAUGUGAAGUUUUUACUUGUGUGAGAGGAAUAGAUAUGUGUAGUGAUAUGUGUAAGAAUUGGUGGAAUUGUGUUAUGCUUGUAGUGAGAGUAUUGUGGUUUGAGAGGAGAAUUUUGCUUCUGCAAAAUACGGAAGAGUUAUCUUCUUUAGACUGGUUUUUUUUUAUUUGGUUUAUAUCGUGUACUUUAGUGUCCCCUAUUCACUGAUGUAGAGUUUUUUUUAAUAUAAUGGGACAAUCUUCCAUGCUAAUUUAUUUCUUUGAUUUCUCCCACUCUUAAUAUUAGAAAUUAUUUCAAUGUUGA